UACGAAGGGUGCAAACGUUGCUCGGAAUUAUUGGGCGUAAAGCGCACGUAGGCGGCUCUACAAGUCGAAUGUGAAAUCCCUCGGCUUAACCAAGGAAGUGCAUCCGAAACUGUAGAGCUUGAGUACCAAAGAGGAUCGCGGAAUUCCCGGUGUAGAGGUGAAAUUCGUAGAUAUCGGGAGGAACACCAGUGGCGAAGGCGGCGAUCUGGGUGGAUACUGACGCUGAGGUGCGAAAGCGUGGGGAGCAAACAGGG
rnacentral:rRNA from 1 species